CGCCGCGCUCCAGUUUGGCAGCCCCCUCUCCACCUCCCCCUUCCACUGGAAUAUCUCCGAUAGCUCUCCGACCUCACCAACCUGCAAGCAAUUGCAAUUCCAUCAUCAUCAACAACAACAAUAGCAACAUUGCUAGGAGAAGGUUUCUUGGGCUGUGGUAUUGUUCCCAUCCUCGUACUCGAGCGAACUCUGCGAGCAUGUCUCUGAGUUCCUGCAGUGAGACGUCUUUGGCGGUUUUCUCAGAGGUACUAAAUACAACUCCUCCUUGACCUGAUCAUCCUAUUCGCUCCAAGAGCAGGUUGGGAUCGUGGAACUCUCGUUCGAGGAGUAAGUAAGCAUACAGUGAAGUAUCAUCAAAAUGCACACUCCAUCUCCGUCUAUAGUCUUGUUCAUUUCCCUAUCCUUUACCGUCGAGUUGUUUCGUCCCCUAAUCAAGUAUAGUUUGCUACUGUUCGAGUUUGAAAUUUCUGAUUUUUUUCCUUUCUUAAAAGGCAUCAUAGCAUUGCUAAUUGUUGUUGAUACAAUAGUUUCACGAGCCAUAAUGAUAGUUCUAUAAAAAGGAUUAGGAAAUUCUGGAAAAGAAGAUGGUGGGGGGCUUUAUGCUCACCGUAUGAAGUGCAAUCAAAGCAGCUUACUAGCUGAGGGUUGCCUCAGGCCAUGAAAGCUAUUCAAAUAGCUUGCUUUAAAGCAUCUGAUAUUUUUGAUUUCCCAGCUUCAAAUUUUGCUUUAAUAGAAGAAAAGAAAAAUGAAAAGGAAAAGGGGAAAAAAAAAUUUGUCGUAGAGAACAGAGUUAGAUGUUAAUGAUUGCAAUGCAGAAAAGGAAAGUGGAGAUGAAAAUGGACAACCAAUUAUUGCUUCUAGACUCAUAUAACAUUUUUUAUUUGUUAUUUAACCUAUCCAUUAGAAAUUCUACUCAUAACUUCGAAUUGUGGGUUGUGUGUCUUCUUUAUUUUAAAUAUAUAUUUUACUACAUAAUGUAUAUAAUUGUUAAUUUUUUAAAUUAAGGAAGAAAAAAACUCUAAUUAUUAAACGUGUUGGUGUUCGAGGGGGGAUUGUUGGGAGUGAAUCACACAUUGGCUAAUUUAGAGAAUGAUCAUGUGUU